UUAACCGGAUUAGAUACCCUGGUAGUCCACGCCGUAAACGAUGAGUGCUAGGUGUUAGGGGUUUCGAUGCCCUUAGUGCCGAAGUUAACACAUUAAGCACUCCGCCUGGGGAGUACGACCGCAAGGUUGAAACUCAAAGGAAUUGACGGGGGCCCGCACAAGCAGUGGAGCAUGUGGUUUAAUUCGAAGCAACGCGAAGAACCUUACCAGGUCUUGACAUCCUUUGACCACUCUAGAGAUAGAGCUUUCCCCUUCGGGGGACAAAGUGACAGGUGGUGCAUGGUUGUCGUCAGCUCGUGUCGUGAGAUGUUGGGUUAAGUCCCGCAACGAGCGCAACCCUUGAUCUUAGUUGCCAGCAUUUAGUUGGGCACUCUAAGGUGACUGCCGGUGACAAACCGGAGGAAGGUGGGGAUGACG
rnacentral:rRNA from 1 species